UACGUAGGCAGCGAGCGUUGUUCGGAGUUACUGGGCGUAAAGGGUGUGUAGGCGGUUGUUUAAGUUUGGUGUGAAAUCUCCCGCUCAACUGGGAGGGUGCGCCGAAUACUGAAUGACUCGAGUGUGGGAGAGGUGAGUGGAAUUCCUGGUGUAGCGGUGAAAUGCGUAGAUAUCAGGAGGAACACCGGUGGUGUAGACGGCUCACUGGACCAUAACUGACGCUGAGACACGAAAGCGUGGGUAGCAAACAGG
rnacentral:rRNA from 1 species